UAGGGAAUCUUCCGCAAUGGGCGAAAGCCUGCCGGAGCAACGCCGCGUGAGUGAUGAAGGUCUUCGGAUCGUAAAACUCUGUUAUUAGGGAAGAACAAAUGUGUAAGUAACUAUGCACGUCUUGACGGUACCUAAUCAGAAAGCCACGGCUAACUACGUGCCAGCAGCCGCGGUAAUACGUAGGUGGCAAGCGUUAUCCGGAAUUAUUGGGCGUAAAGCGCGCGUAGGCGGUUUUUUAAGUCUGAUGUGAAAGCCCACGGCUCAACCGUGGAGGGUCAUUGGAAACUGGAAAACUUGAGUGCAGAAGAGGAAAGUGGAAUUCCAUGUGUAGCGGUGAAAUGCGCAGAGAUAUGGAGGAAAACCAGUGGGGAAGGCGACUUUCUGGUCUGUAACUGACGCUGAUGUGCGAAAGCGUGGGGAUCAAACAGG
rnacentral:rRNA from 1 species